AACUUCCUACAGGUCACAGUUAUCUUGCCACUUCCCCAAACAGGGAGUCUUGAAACUUAAGGAACCCGAGCAGAGAACACACACCUACUGCAGACAGGAUCAUCGUUCUGGGGAUCCAGAAAUUGGGAAAGCCAGCUUACCACGGAGUCGUUCAUCAUCUCUGGAAAAGAAGAAAAAUCUACUGGUCUGUCUCUCAGAUAAAGAUGGAAGCCUGGAAGCAUACAGUAGAACUGCUGCAGCUAGUGGGGCU